UUCCUUCCAGUCAAAGAGGUUACAAAACCUCUUUGACUGGAGGGAUUCCUUCUGGUAGAAGAGGUUACAAAGCCUCUUUGACUGGAAGGAAUCCUUCCGGUCAAAGGGGUUACAGAACCUCUUUGACUGGAAGGCCUUUCCAGUCAAAGAGGUUUUGUAACCUCUUUGACUGGAAGGAA
rnacentral:miRNA from 1 species